rnacentral:rRNA from 1 species
UUACCGAGUUUACAACUCCCAAACCCCUGUGAACAUACCUUAAUGUUGCCUCGGCGGAUCAGCCCGCGCCCCGUAAAACGGGACGGCCCGCCAGAGGACCCAAACUCUAAUGUUUCUUAUUGUAACUUCUGAGUAAAACAAACAAAUAAAUCAAAACUUUCAACAACGGAUCUCUUGGUUCUGGCAUCGAUGAAGAACGCAGCAAAAUGCGAUAAGUAAUGUGAAUUGCAGAAUUCAGUGAAUCAUCGAAUCUUUGAACGCACAUUGCGCCCGCUGGUAUUCCGGCGGGCAUGCCUGUUCGAGCGUCAUUUCAACCCUCAAGCCCCCGGGUUUGGUGUUGGGGAUCGGCUCUGCCUUACGGCGGUGCCGCCCCCGAAAUACAUUGGCGGUCUCGCUGCAGCCUCCAUUGCGUAGUAGCUAACACCUCGCAACUGGAACGCGGCGCGGCCAUGCCGUAAAACCCCAACUUCUGAAUGUUGACCUCGGAUCAGGUAGGAAUACCCGCUGAACUUAAGCAUA